UGAACGGAUCCAAACCUGGCCGGUAGAUCUCAUUGAGGAUGAGCGCGCUUUAUGCUCGCUGGGUGUUUCUGGUGCAUCCAAUAAAGGCUGCAGGCUGACAGCGAGCGAGCGGCCGGGCAGCUGCGCUAAAAUCUGCAUAUCGAUGGCAGAGACGCACACGCGCCAAGAAAACAACCGCGCGCACAUCCGCGCUCUCAUCUCGCUCUUCGCUCGAGAAGGGGGCGUGUGGGACUGGCACGGACUCAGACCCUCCCCUCAUUUGCAUCAGUCAGUGGAAGAAGCUGAGAACGGCGGCGCGCGGAGGAGCACGGACCCGGAGGGGGAAAGUUGUUUUACGAGAUUAUUUUACUUUUCUUUGCCAUAUAGGCGUCCUGCCGCUGCUGAAACGUCCAAGAGCUGAGCGUUGUCCCCGCCUCUCGGUAGUCAGGGUUUGAGCGGUGACAGCGCGCUGAAUGGGAGCUGGAGAGAUCAGCUCUCAGCACGGGGAGAGGACUUGUCUGAGCGCCGAGCUGAAGAGCCGCUCUCCGGGCUGCGGCUGUGCGUCUUUACGCGGGGCUGGCCCGGACUCUGCGGGCGGUUCGAACUUGGGGAGGGAGUAAGUUUGGCUCGCUUUUGGAAGAGCUUCUGUCAUUUUGAAAAUAGAAAAAAAAAAAAAGAAGAAAUCGGAGUAAAGCCUGCAGGAUCGCGCACUUUGUUCUGUUCUGCUCUAUUUGGAAGCGGCAAGAUAGGAGAGCUGGAUGCCUGCCGACGGUCCGCGAUUCAUCAAGACGCAGCCAAGGAUUAUAUCCAUCCUCCAACGGAGUAAGGACGCAAGGUGGAGGGGCGGAGGACUCUCAUCUUUCGGCGUCUCCGGAGUGGAAAUGGCAAGGCGGGCGCUGGAGAGAGGAGAGCAGCCGGCGCAGGAGAGGAGACG